rnacentral:rRNA from 1 species
UACGAAGGGGGGCUAGCGUUGCUCGGAAUGACUGGGCGUAAAGGGCGCGUAGGCGGCUCAUACAGUCAGAUGUGAAAUUCCUGGGCUUAACCUGGGGGGCUGCAUUUGAUACGUGUGGGCUUGAGUGGGGAAGAGGGUCGUGGAAUUCCCAGUGUAGAGGUGAAAUGCGCAGAUAUCAGGAGGAACACCGGUGGCGAAGGCGCCACUCUGGGCCGAAACUGACGCUGAGGAGCGAAGGCCGGGGGAGCAAACAGG